GAUCUGUGACCAGGCUAACUGGCAACAAACAGGUCUGGGACCAGGCUAACUGGCAACAAACAGGUCUGGGACCAGGCUAACUGGCUACAAACAGGUCUGGGACCAGGCUAACUGGCUACAAACAGAUCUGGGACCAGGCUAACUGACAACAAACAGAUCUGGGACCAGGCUAACUGUCAACAAACAGGUCUGGGACCAGGCUAACUGGCAACAAACAGAUCUGGGACCAGGCUAACUGGCAACAAACAGGUCUGGGACCAGGCUAACUGGCAACAAACAGGUCUGGGACCAGGCUAACUGGCAACAAACAGGUCUGGGACCAGGCUAACUGGCAACAAACAGGUCUGGGACCAGGCUAACUGGCAACAAACAGGUCUGGGACCAGGCUAACUGGCAACAAACAGGUCUGGGACCAGGCUAACUGGCAACAAACAGGUCUGGGACCAGGCUAACUGGCAACAAACAGGUCUGGGACCAGGCUAACUGGCUACAAACAGAU